GACGAACGCUGGCGGCGUGCUUAACACAUGCAAGUCGAACGGACAGACAGAGAGCUUGCUCUCUUGAAGUUAGUGGCGAACGGGUGAGUAACGCGUAAUCGACCUGCCCUUCAGAGGGGGAUAACAACGGGAAACCGUCGCUAAUACCGCGUACGAUUCAUGAACGGCAUCGUUUAUGAAUGAAAGGUGGCCUCUAUGUAUAAGCUAUCGCUGAAGGAGGGGAUUGCGUCUGAUUAGCUAGUUGGGGGGGUAGCGGCCCACCAAGGCAAUGAUCAGUAGACGGUAUGAGACGAUGAACGGCAACAUUGGGACUGAGACACGUGCCAAAGUCAUACGGGAUGCAGCAGUGGGGAAUCUUCCGCAAUGGACGAAAGUCUGACGGAGCAACGCCACGUGAGUGAUGAAGGUCUUCGGAUUGUAAAGCUCUGUUAAUCGGGACGAAAGAGUUCUGCGUGAAUAAUGCAGAAAAGUGACGGUACCGGAAUAGAAAGCCACGGCUAACUACGUGCCAGCCGCCGCGGUAA
rnacentral:rRNA from 1 species